GACAGAGGAGCCAAGCGUUGUCCGGAUUGACUGGGCGUAAAGCGCACGCAGGCGGAUGCGCGCGUGGGGUGUGAAAUCUGGCCGCUUAACGGCCAGGCGCCAUCCCAUACGGCGCGUCUGGAGUGAUGCAGAGGUCGAUGGAAUUGCCGGUGUAGUGGUGAAAUGCGUAGAUAUCCGGAAGAACACCGGAGGCGAAGGCGGCUUGCUGGACCUGGUCUGACGCUGAGGCGCGAAAGCGUGGGGAGCGAACAGG
rnacentral:rRNA from 1 species